rnacentral:rRNA from 1 species
AGCGAACGCUGGCGGCAGGCCUAACACAUGCAAGUCGAACGGACCCUUCGGGGUUAGUGGCGGACGGGUGCGUAACACGUGGGAACGUGCCUUUAGGUUCGGAAUAGCUCCUGGAAACGGGUGGUAAUGCCGAAUGUGCCCUUCGGGGGAAAGAUUUAUCGCCUUUAGAGCGGCCCGCGUCUGAUUAGCUAGUUGGUGAGGUAACGGCUCACCAAGGCGACGAUCAGUAGCUGGUCUGAGAGGAUGACCAGCCACACUGGGACUGAGACACGGCCCAGACUCCUACGGGAGGCAGCAGUGGGGAAUCUUGCGCAAUGGGCGAAAGCCUGACGCAGCCAUGCCGCGUGAAUGAUGAAGGUCUUAGGAUUGUAAAAUUCUUUCACCGGGGACGAUAAUGACGGUACCCGGAGAAGAAGCCCCGGCUAACUUCGUG